rnacentral:lncRNA from 1 species
AAAAUCAGAGUCUCUGCCUCCAUUUUGAGAAGGUUCUGUCCCUGGAGCCUGGACUGAUAGACCCCACAUCAGCUUGGCUUUUCCCACCUACUGUUCUGACUUCUGAUUGGCCAGAUGGAGUUCACUAACUGCCCUGAUUGGUCCAUCAUCCUGGAGCAGUGACAUUGCAGGAUAUUUUCUCCUCCUCCAGCCACACUUUGUCACCAACUGCUGCCAACUCGCCACCACUGCUGCCGACCUCGCCACCACUGCUUUGUCUCUGAAGUGAGAGUGCUCCUGGUGCCAUGAACGGAGACGACGCCUUUGCAAAGAGACCCAGGGAUGAUGAUAAAGCAUCAGAGAAGAGAAGCAAGGCCUUCAAUGAUAUUGCCACAUACUUCUCUAAGAAAGAGUGGGAAAAGAUGAAAUACUCGGAGAAAAUCAGCUAUGUGUAUAUGAAGAGAAACUAUGAGGCCAUGACUAAACUAGGUUUCAAUGUCACCCUCCCACCUUUCAUGUGUAAUAAACAGGCCACAGACUUCCAGGGGAAUUAUUUUGAUAAUGACCGUAACCGCAGGAUUCAGGUUGAACGUCCUCAGAUGACUUUUGGCAGGCUCCAGAGAAUCAUCCCGAAGGAAGGACCAGCUGGCCUCUCUUCUGUUACCGGGGCCACUCCCAUGGCUUAGGAAUCGCUUUGACUGUUGGCCCCUCCUUGAGCUCCUUAAGGGUUUUGUCUGCACCUGGGGCAUCCGAGAAGCCCCAGUCCCAGCCCAGGGGAUCCCUCAGAGGCCCCUGAAUGAGUGAUUCUGGAAGUGCAGAUUCAGCUCUGGUUUAGAAGAUCAUGCCCAAGAAGCCAGCAGAGGAAGGAAAUGAUUCGAAGGGAGUGUCAGAAGCAUCUGGCCCACAGAACGAUGGGAAACAGCUGCGCCGCCCCGGGAAAAGCAAAUACUUCUGAGAAGAUUAAUAAGAGAUCUG